GACGAACGCUGGCGGCGUGUCUAAUACAUGCAAGUCGAGCGAAUCUUGAGGAGCUUGCUCCUUAAGGUUAGCGGCGGACGGGUGAGUAACACGUGGGCAACCUGCCUGUAAGACUGGGAUAACACCGGGAAACCGGUGCUAAUACCGGAUAAUUCUUCCCCUCACAUGAGGUGAAGCUGAAAGUCGGCACAAGCUGACACUUACAGAUGGGCCCGCGGCGCAUUAGCUAGUUGGUGAGGUAACGGCCCACCAAGGCGACGAUGCGUAGCCGACCUGAGAGGGUGAUCGGCCACACUGGGACUGAGACACGGCCCAGACUCCUACGGGAGGCAGCAGUAGGGAAUCUUCCGCAAUGGACGAAAGUCUGACGGAGCAACGCCGCGUGAGUGAUGAAGGCCUUCGGGUCGUAAAACUCUGUUGUUAGGGAAGAACAAGUACCGGAGUAACUGCCGGUACCUUGACGGUACCUAACCAGAAAGCCACGGCUAACUACGUGCCAGCCGCCGCGGUAA
rnacentral:rRNA from 1 species